UGGUCGGACGAGCACGACCGCGUGCGCGGGGGAGAGGGAUAUGAGUUCAUCUGCCCCGUCGCUAACAGCCUACAACUGACCAUCCUCAGGCCGGCGAAAUAAUCAUCCUCCAAGGGCCGGCGAAAUGGGGACGAAAGUUAAUAUUAUAGUAGGCUCACAUGUAUGGGCUGAAGAUGCUGACAUUGCCUGGGUUGAUGGAGAGGUCGUUAAGAUCAAUGGCGAAGAGGCCGAGAUCCAAGCAACCAAUGGGAAAAAGGAAAGUUGCGUUGAACAAUUCUGCUCCUUUUUUUUAUAUAGGAAUUCAUUCUGAUAUAAUACUGCUACUUAUAUGUAAGUGUCACAAUUUUAGAUCAUUGCAAAUUUGUCGAAAUUAUAUCCUAAAGAUAUGGAAGCAGCUACCGGUGGAGUUGAUGACAUGACCAAGCUCUCCUAUCUCCAUGAGCCAGGAGUUUUGCAGAAUCUGGCGAUCAGACAUACACUGGAAAUAUUCUCAUUGCUGUCAAUCCUUUCCAAAGGUUGCCGCAUUUAUAUGACCCACAUAUGAUGCAACAGUAUAAGGGGCACCAUUUGGAGAGUUAAGUCCACAUGUUUUCGCUGUCGAAGGUGUCACAUACAGGUACGCAAACAUAACCAAAAUCAGACCUUGGUUCCAUCGAUACACCGCUCGCAGAUUCUUUCAAUAUAUGCUUAUGAGGUGUUUGAUGGAACUACAACCAGGACAAUGAAGAUGGUGUUGUGUUGCUUUGUACAUGUGAGCAACAUAUUGCAGAAAUGUUUUCUGCACGCGAGGAUAUGGCCCAUUUAUACAAUCAAGCAUCAAUGGUUACAAGAGAAUGGAUGUUGCCAUUUCCGCUCUUGGUUUUGGUCCUCUUAUUUGUAAACUAAGCGGUAUGAUUGGAUGGUAUUUGAUGUUGAAUGCUACUCCAAAGAAAGGCAUCUCAUAUGUUUGGAGGAGUAUUUUCUCAAAGGCCUGAAUUUUCUGAAAAUA